GACGAACGCUGGCGGCGUGCCUAAUACAUGCAAGUCGAGCGAAGCGACGGAUGGGUGAGUUACGCGUGGGUAACCUGCCCCUAAGUCUGGGAUACCAUAUGGAAACAGAUUCUAAUACCGGAUAUUAAUGGAUGGACCUGGUAUGCAUUAGCUAGUAGGUAAGGUAACGGCUUACCAAGGCGAUGAUGCAUAGCCGAGUUGAGCGGCUGAUCGGCCACAUUGGGACUGAUACACGGCCCAAACUCCUACGGGAGGCAGCAGUAGGGAAUGUUCCACAAUGGACGAAAGUCUGAUGGAGCAACGCCGCGUGAGUGAAGAAGGUUUUCGGAUCGUAAAGCUCUGUUGUUGGUGAGGCGGUAAUCAACCAGAAAGUCACGGCUAACUACGUGCCAGCAGCCGCGGUAAUAC
rnacentral:rRNA from 1 species